UACGUAGGGUGCAGGCGUUAAUCGGAAUUACUGGGCGUAAAGCGUGCGCAGGCGGUUUGCUAAGACAGGUGUGAAAUCCCCGGGCUUAACCUGGGAACUGCGCUUGUAACUGGCAAGCUGGAGUGUGGCAGAGGGGGGUGGAAUUCCACGUGUAGCAGUGAAAUGCGUAGAGAUGUGGAGGAACACCGAUGGCGAAGGCAGCCCCCUGGGCUAACACUGACGCUCAUGCACGAAAGCGUGGGGAGCAAGCAGG
rnacentral:rRNA from 1 species